UGUGGGUGUUAAGUAAACAGAUCAUUCAGAGUGACUAGGGCUCCAUAACAGGUGAAAAGCUGGCAGACAUAAAGAUAGUCAUUUCCUACCAGAGACAAGCAAGCCAUUUUCUGAUAACAUUUUCUUGGACAGACCAUGUGGCAUGUGCGUUUUGUGUUGUGCAAUAUAUUAUACAAGAUCCUUGAAGUAAGCUUUUGUUUGUUGUUUUACACUAUGCUAAUAAAGUAUACUUAUUUGAACUCAGAAAAUCCCAAAAGUCAGAUACUUGGAGUAUGUAAUCAAUAGAAGCUUCACUUUUAAAAACAGUAAAAGAAAAUAAUCUAUACUUACCCCCAUACAAAUUAAAUAAUAAAUAAAUCUGAAUAAAAACAAUUGUUGGCCUUUGUCCAAAAGUCAUCUGAGGUAUUAAAAAAAUUGAAAGGAGAAAUCAAUUUAGAAUUUAAUUCUUGCGGUAAUUAUUUUGCAGUAUUUGUUUUUACUCCAUUUUUUUUAAUCCAAGGAAAUUUACAGCUUUUCAAUUAGCUAUUCUUUUGUCUGUCCCCCCCCCAUAACUGUAACUCUCUGAAAAGAAUGGAGAUCAGCUGUACAUUUUAGUGUCUGUGUUUGCUUUAAAAAAUCAACAGUAGUAGAAUUAUGUAAUGAAGGGUAAAUUUUUUGACUGUCUUGAUGCACUACUUUCAUUUCUAAAAAGAACCGUGGGUAGUCCUAUCUACAGUGACCACAUUGCCAUUUUAGAAACAGAGCACAAAUCUUUGAAUAUGGUCUUAGAGAGAAAUGGUAAACAAUUAAGGGAAGCUUCUUUUAAAAAAUCAUGCAAGAGAAGAAUACCAUUAUUUUCCCUUGAAAACAGAAUAGAAAAUUCUGCUUUAAUAAGAUUAAUUUUAUCCAUUUUUAUAUUAGACUGAAUUUAUACACAGGUAUCUGUAUUUCACACUUAUAAUACAAAGCUAUAUAAUUCACAGGUGUGGAAGCACUUCCAUUCCUCUCACUGACAUGUUCUGAUAAUUCACAGGCAUGAUAUCAGGCAUAUUCUGCUGAUAAGUGUUCUGGGGCUAGUCCUGCUGGAGAAGUAAAGGAGGGAAGAAUUGAUGUAAAAUAAGACACAUUUUGAAUUGAGAGAAUGUGGGACGGUCUGUAAUUUCAUCCUAAGGAGUUUGGUGACCACACAAGAAGAAAAAUUCGAGUGGCUGUUUGUAGUUUGACAUCACCAAAAUGAUAGACUUGCAGUUAUGUAAUUCACAAUUAGUUGUUUAUGAUUAUACUUAGCCUAUAAAGGGGCCAUAUUAAAUUGUUGAAUGCAAAUCGCUUGUCUGUUUUGCCAGUUUUACUUAUACAAUGUAAUUUGUUAUAAAACAAUGAACAUUGGUUAUGAAAUGAUGUAGCAAGGUACAGGAUGUUAUAGUUCAGUAUUCUUGUACUUUUUUUUUACAUCUGUAGUAUAGAAGAUGCAAAAUCAUUGACAUAAUUACAAAACAGGAAGUGGUGUGUGUAUGCCUCUGUUUAGAAAGUACAAAUAUAUUACUGUUGCUUGUUAUUAUAGUUUCAGUGAGAAAGGAAUUAAGAGGUUUCUAUACUAUGUUCAAUUCUAAUAUUUAAUUUUAUUCAGAUGCAUGUUUAUGUAUUAAACAGGAAGAAAGCAAGAAAGAUGAAAUAUACCAUUAGUUUAAUUUACAUUUGUCAUACAGUAUGACUUCAUUGGUUGGGUCUGAAGGAGUACUAUUUUAAAAGUUUGUAGGUCUUGAUACUGCUUCCAUUGAAGUCAAUGGCAAAACUCCCAUUGAAUUCUGUGGUGCAGAAUCAGAGCCUAAUUGAACCAUCCCAGAUCAACCUGUACUGCUGAGCUGUACUCAAUUGUAGGUCUGAUGGCUCUGAUUUACAUAUGGUUUUCUUUGCCCACCCUCUACUGGACAUUCGUGCAGUUGAGGAUUACUAUGGUGUAGGCAUACCCUCACCAGCUCCCUUUGCUCUUCCAUGCUUCCUGCACCAAUGUGGAGGGGUUGCAUAAUAACAGUUACUGUGACUCUAUACCACCUUGGCUUAGAGAAUAUUCAGGUGGCUGGUUGAGCCAGCUGGAUCAGCACAAAGCAUCUGUAGUAAGGAUGAGGAGCAAACUGUUACUCCUGGGGGAAUUCUGCACCACUACACAUGCACAGAAUUUAUGUCCCCCACAGAUUUUUGUUUCCCCGCAGAAAAAUGACUUUCUGACAGCGAAGCAAAGGGAAUCCACAAGAGCGGUCAUGAGACCCUCCCCAGCAGUAUGUUUUGGGUGUCUGGGGCAGCCAGCAGAGAGGCAUAUGGCUCAGGCUGUGAUAUUGUUAUUCUGGCAAACGACUUUGAAUGUGUGCAGAUUAUUCCUGGUGCUAAACAUGGAAAUAUCCAAGUCAGCUGUGUGGAGUGCUCCCAACAGCAAGGCAGGAUUGCAGCAUCAUAUGGAAAUGCUAUUUGUAUUUUUGAACCUCUUGGUAUAAAUUCUCACAAAAGAAAUUGUCAACUGAAGUGUCAGUGGCUUAAAUCGGGGCAAUUUUUCCUUAGUUCUAUGACUUACAACUUAGCAUGGGAUCCUCAAGGUAACAGGCUCCUGACAGCAACUGACAACUUGCAGUUGUGGGCCCCUCCAUGUAGUGACAUUCUAGAAGAAGAGGAGGAAGAAGAUGAUGAUCUUGACAGUCAGAUCAAAGAUGAUAAAGUUCUCCCAGUUCUAAAUGACUGGAAAUGUGUCUGGCAGUGCAAGACUGCAGUAUCUGUACAUCUGAUGGAGUGGUCUCCUGAUGGUGAAUACUUUGCAACAGCUGGAAAGGAUGAUUGUCUCUUAAAGGUAUGGUAUCCAAUGACUGGGUGGAAGUCAUCUCUUCUACCACGGGAGAGUGAAGAAAAGAAAAAAAGCUCAGCACUUGUUCACUUUUCCUUUGUUUAUUUGGCACAUCCUCGAGCGGUGACAGGAUUUUCAUGGCGUAACACUAGCAAGUACAUGCCCAGGGGGUCUGUCUGUAAUGUGUUACUUACUUCAUGCCAUGAUGGUAUCUGUCGGCUGUGGGCAGAGACUUUAUUACCAGAGGAUAGUCUUCUGGGUGAGCAGAUCUGUGAGACUAGCACUUCCAGCAGUAGCAGCAGCCUGUUGCAUUCUGGAAGGCGAAAAGACAGAAUACAGCAUGCUCUAGAGACACUUCACCACUUGAAAAAUAUGAGAAAAGGACAAAGAAGAUCUUCAGUUCUUAUUACCCACACAGAUUUAUUGCCUGAUCAACAGGGCUCGCAUGAAGUUCGUCAUCAUAUUUCACAUCAUGCUAAUACACUCUGUCACUUUCAUAUAGCAGCAAGCAUCAACCCUACCACAGAUAUUCCGUCAGUGUUAGCUGGGACAGCUUUUAAUGUAGACGAAGGAAAUGGAGGCUUUGUGGUUCAUUGGCUGAAUAAUAAAGAAUUUAAUUUUACAUCCUCAAUUGAAGUAUUUCUGCAGCAGUUAAGAAAACUUGCUGAACAACAACCAGAACAAGAUGCUGUUGAUGCUGAUGGUGAAGAGGAGGACGAGGAAAUGGAGGAGAAAGAGAGAGGCUUACAUAUGAAACUAGAUCAUGAAUUAUCUAUAGAUAGAGAAUCUGAGACAGGAACAGGUACAGGCUCUUCAGAACAUGAAGAUGGAGGCAGAGAGGGGAGCCCCAAAACAUCUCCAUCAGCCAGCCUGUGUAUGGCACUUCCUACAGUUCUGUUAGAUCGGAAAAUUGAAAUGCUUCUUACUGAAUGGAAUAGGAAUCCAGACAUGCUUUUUACUAUCCACCCCAUUGAUGGUACCUUUUUAGUGUGGCAUGUGAAAUAUUUGGAUGAGUACAAUCCAGGAGUCUUUAGACAAGUUCAGGUUUCAUUUUCUUCUCGGAUUCCUGUUGCAUUUCCAUCAGGAGAUGCCAGCUCUCUUAGUAAAAACAUUAUGAUGUAUGCUUGCACUACCUCUACAAAAGAUGGCAGUAGCGCUGUGCAUCAGAAGACAACUAACAUUCCAGAUAGCACUCUAGGAAUUAAUGGACCAAGCUCUUCCCAGGGUAGCCCAAAUGUGAAUAUAUUGGCUCCUAUCGUAAUGAUGGUUUCCAAACAUAUAGAUGGAUCCCUAAACCAGUGGGCAGUUACUUUUGCUGAUAAAUCUGCUUUUACCACUGUGCUUACUGUAUCACAUAAAUUUAGGUACUGUGGUCACCGAUUUCAUCUCAAUGACCUGGCUUGCCAUUCUGUUUUACCUUUGUUAUUAACAUCUUCUCAUCAUAAUGCUCUGUUAACUCCCGAAUCAGAUCAUCCACGGGACUGUGAUAGAUUAAGCAAACUAAUGGAUCCUAUUAAACAUUUAAAAGGUUCUUCUAGGCAACAUCUGAGAAAUGCAGCAACUUGUACAUUCCAUGACCCAAAUGCAAUCUACAGUGAGCUGAUUCUGUGGCGUGUAGACCCCAUUGGACCUUUGUCAUACACUGGAGGAGUAUCUGAAUUGGCUCGAAUUAACUCACUUCACAUCUCUGCCUUCUCUAACGUGGCCUGGCUUCCAACUCUUAUUCCCAGCUAUUGUCUUGGUACAUACUGCAAUUCUGCUAGUGCUUGCUUUGUAGCAUCUGAUGGCAAAAACCUGAGGCUGUAUCAAGCAGUGGUAGAUGCACGAAAACUGCUAGAUGAAUUGUCUGACCCUGAAUGUUCUAAACUCAUUGAGGAAGUGUUUAACAUUGUGAGCCAACAAUCUACUGCUCGACCAGGAUGCAUUAUUGAACUUGAUGCAAUAACUAACCAAUGUGGCUCAAAUACACAGUUGCUUCAUGUUUUUCAAGAAGAUUUCAUUUUGGGAUACAAACCACAUAAGGAAGAUGUGGAAGGGAAGGAAACAGAAACAUUUUUCAAACCAUCACAAGGUCAUCGUCCACCACCUUUCUCAGAAAAAUUCUAUCUUGUAGUAAUUGAAAAAGAUAGGAAUGGCUGCUCAGUUCUUCAUAUGUGGCAUCUUCAUCUUAAAUCUGUGCAAGCAUUUUUAGCAAAAAAACCUGAAGUUACUUCAUCAGAGAAUCAACUUUGUGUACCUGAACAAAAGACUGUGGAGUCUUCUCCGGAUACCUCACCUGGCUCAACUCCUAUGCCACGUUCUUCAUCAAUUGCUAAUCUUCAGACUGCCAGUAAACUCAUUUUGAGUUCUAGACUUGUAUAUAGCUAUCCACUAGAUCUUCCAACUGGUGUAGAAGUAAUAAGAGCAACCCCUUCAGCAGGUCACCUGAGCUCAUCAUCAAUAUACCCAGUCUGCCUUGCGCCUUAUUUGAUAGUAACGUCCUGUUCAGACAACACAGUGCGGUUCUGGAAAUGCACUGUAGAGACGGAUCUAAAUAAUGGAAAUGAAGUGAGGGAGACAUAUCAUUGGAGAAAAUGGCCUUUAAUGAAUGAUGAGGGGGAGGACAACAGCAGUACAGUACGCGUAAUAGGAAGGCCAGUUGCUGUUAGCUGUUCUUACACAGGACGUCUUGCUGUGGCAUACAAACAACCUGUACAGAAUAACGGUUUUGUUUCCAAAGAAUUUUCUAUGCAUGUUUGUAUAUUUGAAUGUGAGUCUACAGGAGGAUCAGAAUGGGUUUUGGAACAGACUGUUCAUCUGGAUGACUUAGUUAAGGUUGGGAGUGUACUUGAUUCAAGGGUCAGUGUAGAUAGUAAUUUGUUUGUAUAUAGUAAAUCAGAUGUAUUUUUAAACAAAGACAAAUACUUUAUGCCCAAUAUCAAGCAUUUGGUACAUUUGGACUGGGUAUCAAAAGAAGAUGGCUCACAUAUACUUACAGUUGGAGUGGGUGCCAAUAUAUUUAUGUAUGGACGACUGUCAGGAAUUCUAACAGAGCAAACAAGCAGUAAGGAUGGAGUAGCUAUUAUUACUUUACCACUAGGUGGUAGCAUAAAACAAGGUAUAAAGUCCAAAUGGGUACUGCUGAGAUCUAUUGAUUUGGUGUCCUCUGUAGAUGGCACUCCUUCAUUGCCAGUUUCUCUCUCUUGGGUACGAGAUGGUAUACUGGUAGUGGGAAUGGACUGUGAAAUGCAUGUGUAUGCACAAUGGAAACAUGCUGUUAAAUUUGGUGAUGGCAAAAGUGAUGUUUUUACUACUGAAGACUCAGUAACUCAAGAUCUACUAAAAACAAGUUUGCUAGCAAAGAAGACCAGUAUAAUUGAUGGAGCAGGUAUCGUAGAUGAUGUCUUUGGCACUCCAACUGUAAUUCAAGAUGGAGGCCUUUUUGAAGCUGCUCAUGUCCUUUCCCCUACUCUUCCACAGUAUCAUCCAACCCAGCUAUUAGAAUUGAUGGACUUAGGUAAAGUUCGCCGAGCUAAAGCCAUUCUGUCCCAUUUAGUUAAAUGUAUUGCAGGAGAAGUUGCAAUAGUUAGAGAUGCAGAAGCUGGGGAAUGUGGUGGACCUAAACGUCAUCUUUCUCGUACCAUUAGUGUAAGUGGUAGUACCGCAAAGGACACAAUCACUGCUGGAAAAGAUGGUACUCGAGACUAUACUGAGAUAGAUUCUAUUCCACCACUGCCAUUGUAUGCAUUGCUUGCUGCAGAUCAAGAUACCACAUACAAAAUUUCUGAAGAAACUUCUAAAGUACCUAAGGGGUUUGAAGAUCACACUAAAAGAAAAACAGAGGAUCAAUACUCAAAUUUAUUCCAGAUGCAGCCUGUUACAACUGAUGACUUCAUUGAUUUUGAGAUGGAAAAGAGAGAGAGUAAAUCCAAAGUAAUUAACCUAUCUCAGUACGGGCCAUCCUACUUUGGCCGAGAACACGCUAGUGUCCUCUCAAGUCAUCUUAUGCACUCAAGUUUGCCAGGCCUCACUCGUUUGGAGCAGAUGUUCCUGGUUGCUUUGGCAGACACUGUGGCUACAACAAGCACUGAACUUGAUGAGAACAGAGAUAAGACUUACUCAGGGAGAGACACAUUAGAUGAAUGUGGCUUGCGGUAUUUGUUGGCUAUGCGCUUGCAUACAUGCCUUCUGACAUCACUCCCACCUUUAUAUCGAGGUCAGCUGCUUCAUCAAGGUGUAUCUACCUGCCAUUUUGCCUGGGCUUUUCAUUCUGAGGCUGAGGAAGAGUUGAUCAACAUGAUUCCUGCUAUCCAGAGAGGAGAUCCACAGUGGUCGGAACUAAGAGCAAUGGGUAUAGGUUGGUGGGUCAGGAAUAUUAACACACUCCGAAGGUGCAUUGAGAAGGUUGCAAAAGCUGCUUUUCAGAGGAACAAUGAUGCCUUGGAUGCUGCAAUUUUUUACCUUGCUAUGAAGAAAAAAGCAGUGGUGUGGGGUCUGUUUAGGUCUCAGUACGAUGAAAAGAUGACCACAUUUUUCAGCCAUAAUUUCAGUGAAGAUAGGUGGCGCAAAGCAGCUUUGAAGAAUGCUUUUGCUUUGUUGGGGAAACAACGCUUUGAACAGUCUGCUGCUUUUUUCUUACUAGCUGGUUCCCUGAAAGAUGCUAUAGAGGUGUGUCUUGAAAAAAUGGAUGAUAUUCAGCUGGCCAUGGUUAUUGCUCGUUUAUAUGAAUCAGAAUUUGAGACCUCCCUCACCUAUACAUCCAUUCUUUAUGAAAAAAUUUUGGGUUGCCAGAAAGAUGGAACUGGAUUCAGAUGUACUAAAUUACAUCCUGAUCCCUUCCUGCGAAAUCUUGCCUAUUGGAUAACGAAAGACUACACUAGAGCACUUGACACUUUAUUGGAACAAACACCUAAGGAAGAUGAUGAAAAUCCAGUUAUCAUCAAGUCCUGCAAUCCUGUGGUGUUUAGUUUUUACAACUACCUUCGGACUCACCCUUUGCUCCUCCGAAGACAUUUCAGCUCACCAGAAGGGACUCUGGCCACUUUAGGUAUAAAAACUGAGAAAAGUUUUGUUGAUAAAAUUAAUCUUGUAGAGAGAAAAUUAUUCUUCACCACUGCAAAUGCUCAUUUUAAAGUGGGAUGCCCUGUUUUGGCUCUUGAAGUUCUUUCCAAAAUUCCAAGAAUAAGUAAGUCGUCCAGCACUUCUACCAAAAAAGAUCAAUCCAGUUUAAGUCCCACUAGAAAAACUGGUGUGAUUCUAGAGUCAAACACUGUGAGUAUUGGUGUUGAAAGUAGUAAUCUAGACUGGUCAAAGCCAUUUUCAGCUUCAUCUGCUGUGGAAAGUAGCACUGGUUCUUCAGCACAAUUUGACUGGAGUCAGCCAGCAGUAAAAUUCGAUGAAGAGUCUCUUAUUCUUGACUGGGGUGAAGACAAAGAUGGCUCAGAGGAAGAGAAAGAUGAUGUUGGUUUAACAAUGAAAGGUUCAAAAUUGGACUCUAAAAAUGGAAAACUAGAUGAGAAGAGUACGCACACUGAUGUACUACAGACACCUCAAGGGGAAGAUUCUGAUGGAGGUGACACUGAGGUUGAUGUAAUUGCUGAACAACUCAAGUUCAGAGCCUGUUUGAAGAUCCUCAUGACCGAACUUAGGACUUUGGCUACGGGGUAUGAGGUAGAUGGAGGGAAGCUUAGAUUUCAACUGUACAAUUGGCUGGAAAAAGAAAUUGCUGCUAUGCAUGAAAUAUGUAACCAUGAAGCAGGUGGCAAAGACUAUUGUGAAACAUAUACUAAAGUAGAUGGUGACCUACUUGAUCAUGAAGAAAUUGUGGAUAAGCCAGAUAUUGGCUCAUAUGAACGUCACCAGAUAGAAAGACGUAGGUUGCAGGUGAAACGAGAGCAUGCUGAAAGACGAAAGUGGUGGCUGCAAAAGAAUCAAGCUCUCCUGAGAGUUUUCCUAAGUUACUGUAGCCUUCAUGGGGCACAAGGUGGUGGUCUAGCGUCUGUAAGAAUGGAACUCAAGUUUUUGUUGCAAGAGUCACAGCAGGAAACUACAGUAAAGCAACUUCAGUCUCCUCUUCCAUUACCCACAACACUUCCACUGCUUUCUGCAAGUAUUGCUUCAACAAAAACUGUAAUAGCCAACCCUGUGCUGUACUUAAAUAACCACAUCCAUGACAUUCUUUACACCAUAGUACAGAUGAAAUUUCCACCCCAUCCUAAUAUCGAAGAUGUAAAGGUGCAUACACUUCAUUCGUUAGCAGCUUCACUUUCUUCAUCUAUUUACCAAGCUUUAUGUGACAGCCACAGCUACAGCAGUCAAACAGAAACAAAUCAGUUUACAGGAAUGGUUUAUCAAGGACUGCUUUUGAGUGAUCGACGCAGACUGAGGACAGAAAGCAUCGAAGAACAUGCAACACCAAAUUCAACUCCUGCUCAAUGGCCAGGUGUGAGCUCACUUAUAAAUCUCUUAAAUUCAGCCCAGGAUGAGGACCAACCAAAGUUAAACAUUUUACUUUGUGAAGCUGUCAUAGCUGUUUACCUAAGUCUCCUGAUACAUGCCCUUGCUACUAAUUCUUGCAAUGAAUUGUUUCGGCUAGCAGCCCAUCCCCUGAACAGCCGAAUGUGGGCUGCUGUCUUUGGGGGAGGUGUGAAACUUGUUAUGAAACCCCGAAGACAAUCUGAAAAUAUUCCAGCACCUCCCGUUCCUUCAGAAGAAAUGGAUAAGCAUCGUCGUCGAUUUAAUAUGAGAAUGCUUGUACCAGGGAGACCAGUAAAAGAUAAUGUUGUACCUCCACCUGUGCCUGCAGAAAGGCCUUCUUACAAAGAAAAAUUCAUUCCUCCAGAACUCAGCAUGUGGGACUAUUUUAUGGCAAAGCCAUUUCUUCCUUUAUCAGAUAGUGGUGUUAUAUAUGAUUCUGAUGAAAGCAUUCACAGUGAUGAAGAGGACGAUAGUGCUUUCCUUUCUGACACACAGAUCCAGGAACACAAAGAUGCCAGUUCUUACAGCUGGGCUCUUAUACAUUUGGCGAUAGUAAAACUAGCUCUAUACAACAUUAAGAACUUUUUUCCCAUUGCUGGUUUGGAAUUCUUUGAUCUGCCUGUAACAUCACCAUUGGGUAUUGCUGUGAUUAAAAAUUUGGAAAACUGGGAACAGAUCCUUCAAGAAAGAAUGGAUCAGUUUGAAGGCCCACCACCGAACUACAUCAAUACUUAUCCCAGUGACCUUGGAGUGGGAGCUGGAUCAGCUGUUCUCCGCAACAAAGCAAUGCUUGAACCUGAAAACACACCAUUCAAAUCAAGGGAUUAUUCAGCACUUCCAGUUAAAAGACUAUGGCAUUUUCUUGUGAAACAAGAUCUUCUUCAGGAGACCUUCAUAAGAUAUAUAUUCACUAAGAAAAGAAAGCAAAGUGAGUCUGUAGAAGAUCGUGUGGAGCAGGUCAAACAAAACUGCGUAGCAGAAGAUCACAAAAACAAGGUUGAAGCAGAUCUCGGCUACCCAGGAGGAAAAGCAAAAAUAAUUCACAAAGAGUCUGAUAUGAUAAUGGCAUUUGCAGUUAAUAAGGCAAACAGCAGUGAAAUUGUUUUAGCGUCUACACACGAUGUGCAAGAACUUGAUGUUUCAGCUCUAUUGGCUGCUCAGUCAUUUAUAUGGAUUGGGGAAGAAUAUGACAGAGAAUCUAAAAGUUCAGAUGACCUUGACUUUCGUGGUUCUACCACAACACUCACUCAGUCAAGUGCACCAUCAUUUGGAGUGAAUCAGAUGCAGCCAUCUUCACCUAUGCCAUGGUUAGGUAGUGGACAAACUAGCACUGGAGCUGGUGUGCUCAUUAAAAGAAAUCUGAAUAAUGUCAAGAGAAUGGCUUCACAUCCAGUCCAUCAGUAUUAUCUCACAGGAGCCCAAGAUGGUAGCGUUCGAAUGUUUGAAUGGACAAGGCCACAGCAGCUGAUAUGCUUCCGACAAGCUGGCAAUGCAAGGGUUACUAGAAUGUAUUUCAAUUCCCAGGGCAAUAAGUGUGGCGUGGCUGAUGGAGAGGGAUUUUUAAGUAUUUGGCAAGUCAACCAAAUUGUAUCUAAUCCUAAACCGUAUCUGAGUUGGCAAUGUCACAGUAAAACCACAAGUGACUUUGCAUUCAUUACCUCUUCAAGUCUAGUGGCUACAUCCGGACAGUCCAACGAUAACAGAAACGUGUGCUUGUGGGACACUUUGGUAUCCCCCGGUAACAGUCUCAUUCACGCCUUCACUUGUCACGAUCAUGGUGCCACAGUACUUCAGUAUGCACCUAAGCAGCAACUGUUGAUUUCUGGAGGCAGGAAAGGAUGUGUCUGCAUCUUUGACAUCAGACAGAGACAAAUCCUUCAUACCUUCCAAGCGCAUGACUCUGCUAUUAAGGCUCUUUCACUGGAUCCUUCUGAAGAAUACUUUGCAACAGGCUCAGCAGAAGGUAACAUGAAGGUCUGGGGACUGACAGGCUACGGUUUAAUUCAUUCCUUUAAAAACGAACAUGCCAAACAGUCCAUAUUCAGAAAUAUUGGUGCUGGAGUCUUGCAGAUUGAAACUGUGCAAGACAAUCGCAUCUUCUCCUGUGGAGCAGAUGGCACACUGAAAAUGAGAGUUCUACCUAAUGCUUUCAGCAUCCCUACAGAUGUUGCUGCUCAAGGUGAUGGUCUACCUCAGAGGUUCUCAAACUGUGGUCCAUGGCCCACCAGUGGACUGCAAGGUCCAUUCAGGUGGUCCGCGGAUAGUUCCCUCUAAGGUGCACACCUGGGCAGCCGCACACGAGAGAACAAAGGCGCAGGCAUGGUCCUCUAAUUAGGUGCCUGGACCCUGGAGAAGACGCACAUGUAAGAAAUAUCAGAUCUUAACUUCCUUGUCUUUGCUGGAGAACUCUUCAUAAGGACUGUCUGCCCUGAGUAAAUGGGACUAUGCAUGCUUCAGUACUUCGAGAUGG